UGAUUUUGUUCAGCGCCGCGUAAAUCUGACCGAACCAUCCGGCAGCUGACUUCAGUGCUUUAAUUACAGAUAGUAUUGAUCCGGGAGCUAUCUCCAGGGCUGGCCACACUCCUUGUAGCGUCCAAAGAACAGAGACCUGACUGGCCGGACACACAUCUCUGCUGCAUUUUCAUAUUCUCCAAAAGUCCCCCAUUAAAAAGCUGAGCGGGGAACAAGGGUGCCACAUACUGUAGCAGAGACAAUCCCCAUCUGGAACCCUCUCUCCACGAGUCUCCUGGAAGGGCGCAAAACAAAAACCCGACACGACGACAACCACCACCACCACAACAACAACAACAACAACCACCAAUCCUCCAAACUCCAGCCUUUCCUCCGGCGGGGAGAAAACCCCGUGAAAAGCGGCCCCGGCUCCCCGGCCGUCGGGGCAGCCCCGGCCACUGCUCUCGGCCCGUUCCGCGCCGCCCCACCGGGACCCGGCCCCAGGACCUGCCGGGACCCUCGGGCCGGCCCCACCGCGGCAGAAACAUCGCCGAGCGUCCCGCCAGAGAGACCGAAGCAGUCUCCGGUGCUGUUCUGGCCCGCAGCCAGCCGGCUGGGGCAUGGGGGAGGGGGGUGGAAGGGGUAAGGGGGGGAUUCCUUGCGACUAAUUUCCCUGCUUUUAUUUUUCGUCUUUCUGCCCUCCUGAACUGGUUCGUCGCAUCCCCUCUGUCGGCUGGAAAUGAGCGAAAAUUCACCCGAUAAACUGUGUUUCUGCUGUAGGGUCUAAAGGGGAGGUUGUCCCCCUCGCCCUCGCAUUUGUUCUGGGGGCUUUUCCCCUAACAUCCAACUCCUUCUUGAGGGUCACACCAGCCCCGCAGCAAAACGACGGG